GUGGGUCGCGACCAGGAGGCAAGAACAAGGGGAGACCCUAAUCUCAUCAAUUAACAUCAAAAUUCAGCAAGAUUGUGAAGGAUUCUAGUCAUAAAUCGAAUGUUUGUGCUUAACUAUUGUCUAAUCCAAGAGUUUUGAGCAUAAGGAUCGAAAGAAGAAGGAGCUAGUUCCGGAUCACAAACAAAGGCACAAGAUCGAGGAUCGAAAGAAGAAGGAGCUAGUUCCGGAUCACAAACAAAGGCACAAGAUCGAGGUAAAGCGCAAGUAUAAAUGUCAUUGCGUCGCUCGGAUACGAACACACCUUGAUCAACCGUGAUGCGCUUCCGCAACUUUUGUAGUAAUCUUAUUAGUUAAAAGCUUUUGUUAAAGUUAGUGGUGUUGAAGUUUUGAACUUUAACUAGAUGUUUGUGAAUAUUUAAGUAUCUUAAACUUGAUGUUUUGAAACGGUAGUUUAAAUGUUAAGGUCUUCCUUAUGUUUU